UAAUGCUUAGGAAUCUGCCUAGUAGUGGGGGAUAACUUGGGGAAACUCAAGCUAAUACCGCAUACGACCUACGGGUGAAAGGGGGCGCAAGCUCUCGCUAUUAGAUGAGCCUAAGUCGGAUUAGCUAGUUGGUGGGGUAAAGGCCUACCAAGGCGACGAUCUGCAGCUGGUCUGAGAGGAUGAUCAGCCACACUGGGACUGAGACACGGCCCAGACUCCUACGGGAGGCAGCAGUGGGGAAUAUUGGACAAUGGGCGAAAGCCUGAUCCAGCCAUGCCGCGUGUGUGAAGAAGGCCUUUUGGUUGUAAAGCACUUUAAGUAGGGAGGAAAAGCUAAUGGCUAAUACCCAUUAGCCCUGACGUUACCUACAGAAUAAGCACCGGCUAACUCUGUGCCAGCAGCCGCGGUAAUACAGAGGGUGCAAGCGUUAAUCGGAAUUACUGGGCGUAAAGCGCGCGUAGGUGGUUGCUUAAGUCAGAUGUGAAAGCCCCGGGCUUAACCUGGGAACUGCAUCUGAUACUGGGUGACUAGAGUAGGUGAGAGGGGAGUAGAAUUCCAGGUGUAGCGGUGAAAUGCGUAGAGAUCUGGAGGAAUACCGAUGGCGAAGGCAGCUCCCUGGCAUCAUACUGACACUGAGGUGCGAAAGCGUGGGUAGCAAACAGGAUUAGAUACCCUGGUAGUCCACGCCGUANACGAUGUCUACCAGUCGUUGGGUCUCUUGAAGACUUAGUGACGCAGUUAACGCAAUAAGUAGACCGCCUGGGGAGUACGGCCGCAAGGUUAAAACUCAAAUGAAUUGACGGGGGGC
rnacentral:rRNA from 1 species